ACUUACGGCCAUACCAUCCUGAAUACGCCCGAUCUCGUCUGAUCUCGGAAGCUAAGCAGGGUCGGGCCUGGUUAGUACUUGGAUGGGAGACCAACUGGGAAUACCAGGUGCUGUAAGUG
ensembl:rRNA 5S_rRNA 5S ribosomal RNA